rnacentral:rRNA from 1 species
AAGCAUAUAACUAAGCGGAGGAAAAGAAACUAACAAGGAUUCCCCUAGUAACGGCGAGUGAAGCGGGAAGAGCUCAGGUUGAAAAUCCGGCCUUCGGGUCUGAAUUGUAGUCUGAAGAGGCGGUGCCUUCCGCCGACCGCGGCCAAGUCUGAUUGGAAAUGAGCAUCAUGGAGGGUGAUAGUCCCGUUCGUGCCGUGGUCGUCGUGCGGAAUGAUGGCCCGUUUUCGACGAGUCGAGUUGCUUGGGAUUGCAGCUCUAAGUGGGUGGUAAACUCCAUCUAAAGCUAAACACGCGGGGGAGACCGAUAGCGAACAAGUACCGUGAGGGAAAGAUGCAAAGAACUUUGAAAAGAGAGUUAAAGAGUGCCUGAAAUCGCUGGGAGGGAAGCGAGGGAAAGCAGUGUCUGGCGGUCAAAUCGCUCCCCCGUAGCCCUCCGGGGCUCGGGCUGCGCUCCGCUGUUGCCAGGGUCGGGUGGGGCCCGCGGGAAACGCGCCGCCGGGUAAGGUGGCCCAUGCGCUCUCGGGCGCGCGGGGUGAAUACCGGUGUUUGCUGCGACCGUGGUCCCGGCCGGUCCUGACGAAAUGCUUUUCCUCACCCCGUCUUGAAACACGGACCAAGGAGUCUAACAUGGACGCGAGUACAGGGGUGGCAGAAACCCCGGUGCGCAGUGAAAGUGAACGCAGGUGGGAGGCAGGAUAUACGUGAAUGUCGGCACCAUCGACCGACCAUGUCUCUUCGGGGGCGAGGUUUGAGUGUGAGCGUGCAUGUUGGGACCCGAAAGAUGGUGAACUAUGCCUGAAUAGGGCGAAGCCAGGGGAAACUCUGGUGGAGGCUCGUAGCGAUUCUGACGUGCAAAUCGAUCGUGAGAUUUGGGUAUAGGGGCGAAAGACUAAUCGAACCAUCUAGUAGCUGGUUCCCUCCGAAAUUUCCCUCAGGAUAGCUGCAGCCGUUUGUCUCACAGUUUUAUCAGGUAAAGCGAAUGAUUAGAGGCUGCGGGGGAGUAACUCCCUCGCCCUAUUCUCAAACUUUAAAUGGGUAAGAGACUGUUGUCGCUUUGUUGGACAUCAUGUUGGAAUGUUGGCUGCUAGUGGGCCAGUCCGGGUAAGCUGGACUGGCGAUGCGGGAUGAACCGAACGUCUAGUUGAAGCGCCUCACUGCCCGCUCACCUAGAUCCCACAAAAGGUGUUGGUUCAUUUAGACAGCAGGACGGUGGCCAUG